ACGGAAGGCAGCAGUGGGGAAUAUUGCACAAUGGGGGAAACCCUGAUGCAGCGACGCCGCGUGAGUGAAGAAGUAUUUCGGUAUGUAAAGCUCUAUCAGCAGGGAAGAAAAUGACGGUACCUGACUAAGAAGCCCCGGCUAACUACGUGCCAGCAGCCGCGGUAAUACGUAGGGGGCAAGCGUUAUCCGGAUUUACUGGGUGUAAAGGGAGCGCAGGCGGUCCUGCAAGCCAGAGGUGAAAACCCGGGGCUCAACCCCGUGAUUGCCUUUGGAACUGUAGGACUUGAGUACUGGAGGGGCAGGCGGAAUUCCUGGUGUAGCGGUGAAAUGCGUAGAUAUCAGGAGGAACACCGGUGGCGAAGGCGGCCUGCUGGACAGAAACUGACGCUGAGGCUCGAAAGCGUGGGGAGCAAACAGGAUUAGAUACCCUGGUA
rnacentral:rRNA from 1 species